rnacentral:rRNA from 1 species
UACGAAGGGGGCUAGCGUUGCUCGGAAUCACUGGGCGUAAAGCGCACGUAGGCGGCUUGUUAAGUCAGGGGUGAAAUCCUGGAGCUCAACUCCAGAACUGCCUUUGAUACUGGCGAGCUUGAGUUCGGGAGAGGUGAGUGGAACUGCGAGUGUAGAGGUGAAAUUCGUAGAUAUUCGCAAGAACACCAGUGGCGAAGGCGGCUCACUGGCCCGAUACUGACGCUGAGACACGAAAGCGUGGGGAGCAAACAGG